UAAUGUAUGGGGAUCUGCCCGAUAGAGGGGGAUAACUACUGGAAACGGUGGCUAAUACCGCAUAAUGUCUACGGACCAAAGCAGGGGCUCUUCGGACCUUGCACUAUCGGAUGAACCCAUAUGGGAUUAGCUAGUAGGUGGGGUAAAGGCACACCUAGGCGACGAUCUCUAGCUGGUCUGAGAGGAUGAUCAGCCACACUGGGACUGAGACACGGCCCAG
rnacentral:rRNA from 1 species